AUGCCUUUUAACUUUAAGAGGCUAACCACACAGAAAGGUAAAGGAACUCUCCAUAAAACCCAUGGGAAAGACUGUACACCUCUUCCUUGGAUCCUUUCUAGAGUCACGGAU